GAUGAACGCUGGCGGCGUGCCUAAUACAUGCAAGUCGAGCGAAUGGAUUAAGAGCUUGCUCUUAUGAAGUUAGCGGCGGACGGGUGAGUAACACGUGGGUAACCUGCCCAUAAGACUGGGAUAACUCCGGGAAACCGGGGCUAAUACCGGAUAACAUUUUGAACCGCAUGGUUCGAAAUUGAAAGGCGGCUUCGGCUGUCACUUAUGGAUGGACCCGCGUCGCAUUAGCGAGUUGGUGAGGUAACGGCUCACCAAGGCGACGAUGCGUAGCCGACCUGAGAGGGUGCUCGGCCACGCUGGGACUGAGACACGGCCCAGACUCCUACGGGAGGCAGCAGUAGGGAAUCUUCCGCGAUGGACGAAAGUCUGACGGAGCAACGCCGCGUGAGUGAUGAAGGCUUUCGGGUCGUAAAACUCUGUUGUUAGGGAAGAACAAGUGCUAGUUGAAUAAGCUGGCACCUUGACGGUACCUAACCAGAAAGCCACGGCUAACUACGUGCCAGCAGCCGCCGCGG
rnacentral:rRNA from 1 species